UUUGUAUUUCAUCUGUGAUUCCCCCGAAGCCUUGGAAUCACUGCUCCUAAAACUCAAAGGCAGAAAUGGAAUUCUAUUCCAGGCACCAGGCAAUGGGGUCGCCGACAUUCACCGGGGUUGCUUUAAUCUUGCCUGAGACAUCCAACAAGAAAGAAAUGUGAAGGAAGAGUGAUUUCACUUUUUCAAAAAGAAAAAAAAAAAAUGGGUAUGCUGUGCUGGGAAUGGAGCCCAGGGCUUUGUGUGCAUUCGGCAAGCAUCCUACCUCUGAGAUGUGGUCCGGCUCUCAAGUCUUUAACUUCUGCAGUUGCAAUCUGUUGCCUUGAAGAAAGCAGGAGGCUACUUUGUAAGUCUGGGAAAUAACAGACUGGGAAGCAGACAAGGGCGAAAGCAGAAAGAAGAUGCGCAGCACUGGUUGGUGGCUGGGAAGGUUCCUGGAAAACUGCUCAGGCACGGCAGGACCGGGUCUACGGCUCCAAUCCCCCCAGGCACUGCUCAGAGUGUGAACUCAUUACUCCCUGGCUACGCAGUGAACUUGUCAUUAUUUUAUGCUUAUUUUUAGCAUGAGGAAACUGAGGAACAGAGAGACAGUCGAGCCUCGCAGACACCAGUGCCCUUUACCGAAACUUUGUGCCCCUCUAUGACAAUAGCUAGUAAUAUUUUUUUAAGGGCACAGCGGCACACACUUAUAACUCUAGCACUGAGGAGAUGGUAGAAGAAUUUCAAGGUCACACUGGAUCAUACAAGGAAUUUGAAGCCAGCCAAGAAUCCACAUGACACUGUCUCAAAGUAGUAACGAUGAUAUCAGUAGGAUUACUCGUGGUAGCUGAAGCAUCGCUGCUUAUCCGAAGCCCUGUCUCAGGCAGUUCCAGUGCCGUCUUCUUCUCAUUAUAAACCGUGCAAGGGAAGAAACUGGUGAACAGGAGGGUGGACUGUAGCAACAAUGGUGGUAUAACAGAGCCAGCCCUUCACUGAGGACAAAACCCACCCACUACUUAUCUCAGGGGAGUUCAGGCCUCUGAGAGUGGUGGGGGUGCUACACUCUUUGUGCCCAGCCCAGGGUCAAUUGAUUGGUUUUGUUGGGAACUGUGGGGAGGGUCACUCCUCUCUGGAGAUUUAUGGUGGUGUCUCUUCAGCUAUGGAGCUAGGCACCCAUAGCAAGACAUUGAGGCUAGAGCUGAGCAGAGUGAGGGCUUAGGGUCUCUAUGGUAGGAAAAUGAGCUUUUUCACUGUUUGAUGUGCUUAAAAGAGCUGGGAUUCUACAUAGGUUAGCUGCACAUGGCUCUGUGUUGGCAGUGGGUUCACACAUCUAUCUUGGCUGAGGCCCAGGCAAGGCAAGGAAGAGGACUUUCUGGAGGGGUCUUAGUUUGUACAUGAGGAACAGAUCCACAAGGAUUUAGAGGCUUGUUGAGGUCCCCACAGCAAGGAAUUGGCAAAGCCACCCUGACCUUGGCCUCUAUGUCUGUGGAUACUGUUGGUCUGGAGGUGUCACCAGAGAACAACCAGGACACUGGGGGUGGGGUGAGAUUGUUAGAGAUAAGGAGUUAGCAAUGCUAUGGACCUGUGUCCUCCUCCAACUAACUAGGAUGCUGAAACCAUACUCCAGGAGUGCUGUGAAGGCCCAGCAGGCCAGCCUGCUGAAACAGAAAGAUCUGCCAAGGCGCCUAGAUUUGGGGAGCAGAGAGGAAUAAAGACUUGUGAACACUCAGGGUACAGAUUUGGGAGAGCGACAGUAACAAAUAUAUUCUAAAAAUUGAUCAUGGCAAUGCCUGCAGACUGAAAAUAAAAAUAACAUUGAAUC
rnacentral:lncRNA from 1 species